rnacentral:rRNA from 1 species
UACGAAGGGGGCGAGCGUUGUUCGGAAUUACUGGGCGUAAAGGGCGCGCAGGCGGCCUCUUGAAGUCAGAUGUGAAAUCCCCGGGCUCAACCUGGGAACUGCAUUUGUGACUGCAUCGCUGGAGUGCGGCAGAGGGGGAUGGAAUUCCGCGUGUAGCAGUGAAAUGCGUAGAUAUGCGGAGGAACACCGAUGGCGAAGGCAAUCCCCUGGGCCUGCACUGACGCUCAUGCACGAAAGCGUGGGGAGCAAACAGG